rnacentral:rRNA from 1 species
GACAGAGGAUGCAAGCGUUAUCCGGAAUGAUUGGGCGUAAAGCGUCUGUAGGUGGCUUUUCAAGUCCGCCGUCAAAUCCCAGGGCUCAACCCUGGACAGGCGGUGGAAACUACCAAGCUGGAGUACGGUAGGGGCAGAGGGAAUUUCCGGUGGAGCGGUGAAAUGCACAGAGAUCGGGAAGAACACCAGUGGCGAAGGCGCUCUACUAGGCCGUGACUGACACUGAGAGACGAUAGCUAGGGGAGCGAAUAGG